rnacentral:rRNA from 1 species
UACAGAGGUCUCAAGCGUUGUUCGGAUUCAUUGGGCGUAAAGGGUGCGUAGGCGGCGCGGUAAGUCGGGUGUGAAAUCUCGGAGCUUAACUCCGAAACUGCAUUCGAUACUGCCGUGCUUGAGGACUGGAGAGGAGACUGGAAUUUACGGUGUAGCGGUGAAAUGCGUAGAUAUCGUAAGGAAGACCAGGUGGCGAAGGCGGGUCUCUGGACAGUUCCUGACGCUGAGGCACGAAGGCCAGGGGAGCAAACGGG